rnacentral:rRNA from 1 species
CAGCCGCCGCGGUAAAACGAAGGGGGCUAGCGUUGCUCGGAAUCACUGGGCGUAAAGGGUGCGUAGGCGGGUCUUUAAGUCAGGGGUGAAAUCCUGGAGCUCAACUCCAGAACUGCCUUUGAUACUGAAGAUCUUGAGUUCGGGAGAGGUGAGUGGAACUGCGAGUGUAGAGGUGAAAUUCGUAGAUAUUCGCAAGAACACCAGUGGCGAAGGCGGCUCACUGGCCCGAUACUGACGCUGAGGCACGAAAGCGUGGGGAGCAAACAGGAUUAGAUACCCGCGUAGUCCCUGUCUCUUAUAC